rnacentral:rRNA from 1 species
AGAUUGAACGCUGGCGGCAGGCCUAACACAUGCAAGUCGAGCGGUAGAGAGGUGCUUGCAUCUCUUGAGAGCGGCGGACGGGUGAGUAAUGCCUAGGAAUCUGCCUAGUGGUGGGGGAUAACGUUCGGAAACGGACGCUAAUACCGCAUACGUCCUACGGGAGAAAGCGGGGGACCUUCGGGCCUCGCGCCAUUAGAUGAGCCUAGGUCGGAUUAGCUAGUUGGUGAGGUAAUGGCUCACCAAGGCGACGAUCCGUAACUGGUCUGAGAGGAUGAUCAGUCACACUGGAACUGAGACACGGUCCAGACUCCUACGGGAGGCAGCAGUGGGGAAUAUUGGACAAUGGGCGAAAGCCUGAUCCAGCCAUGCCGCGUGUGUGAAGAAGGUCUUCGGAUUUGUAAAGCACUUUAAGUUGGAGGUAAGGUUGUAAACCUAAUACGGUUAGACUAACUUUGAACGUUACCGACAGAAUAAGCACCGGCUAACGUCGUGCCAGCAGCCGUACG